UUGCGACCGUGUGAGUGACUGUUGAUUUGGAGUGAAUGCUGCGUGGUUAAGUGUGACUGUUGGUUUGGAGUGAAUGUUGAAUUGUUUUGUAAUUGUUCACCUCUGUUUAAUAAAAGAACCUUUAUUUCAUGUUACUGAAUGUGUUUAUUUUAAUUUUUAUAUUAAAAUAUAUGUAGCAAAACGGGUAAGAUGAACGAACCAUCCCCUUGAUCUUUAAAACUAUACACAUGAGUUAUUAUGAAUAUGAAUCACAAUUUAUGGAAUUUUUAUUAGGUCUUUGCUACUCAAAUUAGCAGAAUGAUCUUUUAUUUUUUUGGGUUGUUUUUUGUAUUUUUUGAGAAAUACACUAAUUCAAGGGAAGUUUUCAAUAUUAUAUUAAUGAUUGCGAAUAUUAAAAGGUUCUGAAAAGCAAGCUUUAAUUGGUUUUAUAUUGUUUAAUAACCCAAAGAUAAUAAUUAAGACUAUUUGAAAAAAGGAAAUGUCUUAUGAAAUUAUUUUUCAUCAGUAAAUACAUUAUUUGUUAAAGUUUUAAGAUUAAGUUUAAAAUAUCAUGUGGGUCAACUUACCCCUUUAUAUUUAAUACAUCUAUGAAAUAGAACUAUAAAAUAUCUAACUAUUAAAUGUUUAAUAUCAAAAACCCUGACAAUUUAAUUUCACUGUGUGUGUAUGUGUACAGCUAUGGCAGGUAUUGCUCCACUAUCACCUUUUUUAAUUUAAUAUGAAAGUCCAUGGUUAUAAUUAUCCGUAAAUAUGCAGAAACAUAACUACAUCUCUGGCGUUUAUAACAAACCAAUCCGUUAUUAUCAGUUGAAAUUUGAGUAGGAUAUGAUCAUGGAAACAGUACAUGCACCAUAGACAUUAAUGUUAUCAGUGGGCCAGCAGCCUCUAGGUAAGAUGGCCGCCGUGUGACGACACCAGUCCCCAUUGGCUUACAGCGUAGGUACGUUAUCUAGUCUUUCUAUUUAUCUAUCGAUACGCUGUUUGAGCCUAGCGUCAUCACAGCGACUCUCGGCGACUGCUACUGCGCAGCGCUGGUGUCAGGAAAUGAAGAAAAACCCCGGAAAUACCGAGAGCUUUUUGGCUUCAACUCAAAUGCUGCGUCCGAAUUGCCCGCUCGGAUACUACAUGCUACUGCUACAUACUACUGCUAGAUCCUACUCCUACAUACUAAACACGUUGGCCCAAUUCGGACACACUAGACGAGCGGUGGGGAAAGACGACCCCCGCAGGCAGAGAGUAGGUACUGCGCCCGUGCAGACAGUGGUGACUGAAGCCCCUCAUCUGAGGGCCUGGCUGUAGUACUGCAGCUGUGCAGUUUAAUGAUGGAAUAAGUGAGCUUUACCUCCAUGAUGUCGCCACAUAUUUGCUCAUAAAAUGAUUACUUGGGCAAAUAUGACACCAUGACAUGACAAAGAGAUACAACCGCACAUUUUUUAGGACAGUGUGUGAAGUUACAUGAAACUUACAUCAGUACUGCUGCGGUCCCGCCUGCUGCUGCUCCGACAUGGUGCGCGCUGCUGUGGCCAGCCGGCGUUCGCGACGCAUCUAUGCUGGUGGCGCUAGCAUCACAUGCGCUUCUACAACUUUUAAGAGGACGAAGAAGAAGCCCGCGGUGCAUUUUGGGUCAGUAGCAUGCCCGUAGGAUGCACCGCGACCAACCUACAAUGUGGGCGUGUCUAGUAUCUGAAGUAGUAUCUGAAGUAGCAUGCUACUCGCUCCGGUGGCCAAUUCGGACAUGCUAGAUACUACUUCGACUACUACUUGGCAAUUCGGACGCAGCUAUAGACUGUAUAUAAGAUGGACGCCGUCUGUCUCCUCGCCGGGUGAAGCCACUCCGAGAACAGCACCCCCUAGAGCCUGGCUGCAGUACAAGUCAUAAACCCCACUUCUGCCAGCAAAGUGAAUGGAGUGGCGGACGGCCUUUAGAAAUUGAUUUCACAGAAAAUACACUUUUCUCACCCCCGACUGCGAUGUUGACAUGUAGUUAUUAUUAGACUGGUUUGUGUUCAGGUCUUUUUUUCUCUCUGCAGCUCCAUUUUAAAAAGUUAUUAGGAGUUAUGAAAACAGGAAAUUGCGUCAUUCUCUACACUUUGCACUUGCUGCUUGUGCGUCGCUCUUUUUCGUUCAUCGUCAAGACCGAUCGGGUUUGCUAGCGGAGAAGAGGAUUACAUUUUUCCAUCGUUUUUCUCUUUUAUGCAUUGGAAAAAUGAGUUGUUCUGCAGUAAACUGUGUUAACCGACAUGUGAAAUCGGGAUCUUUGCAGUUGUUUCGGUAAGUUAUGUUUUUUUUUAUGAAGUCAUCAGCUUGCUAGCUACAUAACAUUUACCGGUCUGGUUUAAUUUAGCUAAUGGGGUUUACUUACAGAUACCAAGCGGUAAGUUCUGUGCCUUAUUUAAGCGUUUUUAUGAGAAGUUAAACAAUGAGGAAACCCCUUAAAAUCCGCCUUCUUUUAAUAACAAUAUUAUGACCACGUGACUUUGAAUUUGAAUUAAAAACCGUACCGAUCACACAGAUUCAUACUAGCAACCAAAUACUACCACAGAGUAUCAGGGCAUGAAAUGAAAACUCGAGGCAUGAAGUCAUAAUGUUAAAGGAAUUAAUUCGCAUUUAAGUCAUUCCCCUAAUAUUGCAUCACUUUAUGAGAACAAGGCCAUGUAAAUGAAUAUAAUGAGAGUCAUGAUGUUAUGAGUCGAAGUUUUGGUAAUGGAUCAACCAGUUUUACUCGGGUAUGUAACAACGAGAGCAGCCUGCGCUAAAAUCAGGUAUGGUUUAAUUAAAAUGCAUCUUUCGGAUGCACCGUCCUAGCUUUCUGGCAGAAGAUUGACCGCCGGUUCAGUCUCCUCCGUACAGCGGCAGUAGUAUUACAGCUUCUGGUGACAUAACGAUAUUUGUCUAAGAUAAACCUCUGAAACUGUCUUAAAUGGGACCCUAUAAGUGUAUAGAAGGACAUGCUCAAAAAAUUACUAAUACAAGUUGCAUAACUGUUAUUUAUUUUAUGUUAUCAAAUAACAUACAUAAGUCAUAAGUAUACUUCUGUGGAAUGACAAUUAUCAUUUACAGCAGCAUGGUAGAUCAUGUCUUAUUUAAGUUUUCAAGAUAGAUAGAUAGCCCUGUUACUUAUGAGAUCGAGAUAAAACUAUGAGUAAUGUAAUUAGUUAUGGAAAGACAGCUGCAUAUGACAUACUUAAUCAAUCACAAUGACAUUAAAAUUUUUGUUACAUGCAAAGAAAUCCCUCAAUUUUAAUAGGAUGUUCAUAAGACAUAUCACCCACAGGAUGAAAUGAUUUAGAAUAUAUAUACAGUUUGUAUAUUCAUUCACUUGAGGUAUUUUUUGUGAUUGUCUUUGAAUUUAGAGUUUUGGCUUCAGCCUGUUACGCAACAAAGCAAGAAUUAAACCGAACGCAAAACAUUAACUUUGUGUUGUUUACAAACUUGACAAAUGGCAGUAAGCAAUGUUUUUGUAUUUUUGUAAAGUUUCCCUUUAGGUGACAAAGCGAGGCUGAAGCAGUGGCUGGUGAACACAAGACGGCAGGACUGGAAACCAACAGGAUCAUCACGUCUUUGCAGUGCUCAUUUUGAAGAGCAUGCCUUUACUGUGGACUCAAAGGUUAAAUUAUUUCUUUUUUAAUGGACAGCAAUUUUUAUGAAGUUCACAUUUGCAACAAUUUAUUGUUAAAUUGACUAACACUUUGAAUCAUAAAAUGGCGGUUAUUUAAACAUUCCCAACAGCUGAACACUACAACUAUCGUGGUUCCAUUUUAAAUUACUGCUGUUUUUAUGUUUUUCUCUAGGGUAAGCGUUGCCUCAAGAUGACAGCUGUUCCAACUGUGUUUCCAGAUCACCAGGUAAGGUCCUCUGUGUUAGGUGUGAAACGUAGGAUUUUGGGAGGUAGUGACACAGAGGUAAGGCAGCCGUCACUUAAAUCAGCCAAGGUUUCUCAGGUCAGCAUACAAGAGUCACACGUAGACCAAGGCAACAUUAGCUUUCCAUCUGCUGCCGAAUUACAGCAAUGCCACUUUGACUGAAAAUGCAAAUGGGAAUGACCCAUUAAGCAUUGACAUCUGUCAGGCUGACACUGCUGUAACAGUGAAUGCAUUUAGGGAAGACCACAGUUAUUCAGCAUCAGCACCAA
rnacentral:lncRNA from 1 species